rnacentral:misc_RNA from 1 species
AUAAUAUAUAAUAUCCCACUUGGUAGGGUAACAAAAAUAUAUAAUUGGAAAGGAGCAGCAGCAGCAGCAGGAGGCAGCUUCAAAGUCCAAACUCAAUUUCAUUUAAUUCGGUUUGUUGUAUGCCGAUCGAUGAAGACCCACAGGAUUGACCAUGAACUCUAACUGUGCAACUUGGAUUGAUUCUCAUCAUCCAUGCCCAAUUAAAGUUAGACUUCAGCCAUUUUCUUUAAGGAAGUUUACGUGGUCAAGCGAAUGGCAAAGCCAUCAGACCACGACUGCCAAGCAAAGGAAUGAUAAAUGAAAGUAAACUCGAAACUAUCCAGAAAUUAAAGCAGAAAUAUCAAAGAAAAAGAUAGGAAUUGAAUUUUCAUAUGUAUUCAAUGGACACAUAAAGUAAACAGACAUCUCAAUUUCUUAUGUUACAUUAACUACAUGGAUCAUUUCAGUGUCCAAUUUUCUUGUCUUAAAACUCUCUGACAAAGAGAGGCUCAAAGCAUAGUUCCAACUUGUUAAUGAUGUUCAUGCAUGUCAAAUUAUUCUCUAAAGAUUAAUGUCCUUGACCGAUUUAGGUAAUCCCAAAACAUCAGAUCAGGCCAUAACCUAGCAAAAGUAAAGGAUUUAUCCUUUUAGCACUUCACCUUUCGAGACAAACUAAAUCUGCAAAGGUUGUCGACAUGCAUAAUGGUGGCUAUACUUGCACCGGUUCUGGGUUUUCCAAUUUUGUUGCCACAAUCUUACAAAUAGGCAAUUCCUCAAUCUUACUCAGAAGCUUCAAUGAAGGAUGAAACUCAAUAUCACGCAUUAAGACCCUCCCUCCAAUAUCUAUAUUGCUCACGUCCACCUCAAUUUUUGUGGGAAUGUGUUCAGCUGGACAAAGAAAUUUCAGAGAAUUUCUUAUCCUCUUGAAAUGGCCCCCCUUCUUGAUACCAGGACAAUCCUCUUCUCCUUUGAAAAUAACUGGGACAUCAACUUUCAACUCCGUUCCCUCAUCGGCCCAAACAAACACCAAAUUCAGUAUAUUUCCGGUCUCUUCAUCCCUAUGUAUCUUGAUGGGUAGAACUCUUCUGGAAUCAAGGAGGACCGAUGACCCGGACCCGGGGCGGAUCUGGAGCUGGAAGGUGGUGGAGCAAAAGAAGGGAAGUUCUACGGACUUGAGAAUAGAGUGAAUCUGCUUCCUCUCAGUGGUCAACAGCUGCUUUCUUGAGAUUGAUGAUGAGCUGGGAUUUUUAUCGAACAGGUUCUGGGAGAAAACCACUGCUGGAAUUCUACCUUGAGCUCUAUCACGAGCCGAGACUCGGCUCCCCGUGUACUCGCGAGGGAUGGCUUGGAUCGUAUGGUAAAGAGAAGACAGCGAGUAUAAUGACUGUGGUCGUUGCGCUGGCGGUGAUGUAGACUGAACCGCCGUUCUGAGACCGCGCCACCAUAUGGCCAUGGCGUCUCUAGGAGCGUGAAAAGGUUGCUAAUU